rnacentral:rRNA from 1 species
AACGAACGCUGGCGGCAGGCUUAACACAUGCAAGUCGAACGCCUGUAGCAAUACAGGAGUGGCAGACGGGUGAGUAACACGUGGGAACGUGCCCAAAGGUACGGAACAACUCCGGGAAACUGGAGCUAAUACCGUAUGUGCCCGAAAGGGGAAAGAUUUAUCGCCUUUGAAUCGGCCCGCGUCUGAUUAGCUAGUUGGUGGGGUAAUGGCCUACCAAGGCGACGAUCAGUAGCUGGUCUGAGAGGAUGGCCAGCCACACUGGGACUGAGACACGGCCCAGACUCCUACGGGAGGCAGCAGUGGGGAAUAUUGGACAAUGGGCGCAAGCCUGAUCCAGCCAUGCCGCGUGAGUGAUGAAGGCCUUAGGGUUGUAAAGCUCUUUCGCCAGGGACGAUAAUGACGGUACCUGGAUAAGAAGCCCCGGCUAACUUCGUGCCAGCAGCCGCGGUAA